GUUGGAACUAAGAGUAAAAACUGCUGAUUGACAUCUCUGAGGGGCUGGCUUAUAACUGUGUGAUUUUUACAAAUCUCUGCAGUUCUAAAUUACUCAAAGAGCUGAGAGCAAGUUCAGGGUAAUCUAUUCACCAUUAACACUGCAAUGACGCAAAGUUGUGAUGGUGCUUAGACUGACCCUUUAAUGGUGGUGGGAGAAGAAGUUGGUAAUGACCAGGAGUGAUGUAAGAGGGGGGUGGUGAUGCCUAAUGAUGGUGAGAGAGGGAAGGGUAAUACACAUUACCUCUGCAUUCUCUCAUCACCAUAAGACAUCACCAAUAGGCAUCACCUUCUCACUUUCACACCUUCAUUAGGAAUCUCCAGGGCUGCCAUCAGGAGCGUAUCUGUGUGUUUCUGUAUGAGUGUGUCUGGCAGUGUGUAUCUGUCUGACAGUGUGUUUAUGUAUGGGUGUGUCUGUUAGUGUGUAUCUGUCUGGCAAUGUGUAUCAGAAUGUGCGUCUGUCAGAG